rnacentral:rRNA from 1 species
UACGGAGGGGACUAGCGUUGUUCGGAAUUACUGGGCGUAAAGCGCACGUAGGCGGAUUUGUAAGUCAGGGGUGAAAUCCCGGGGCUCAACCUCGGAACUGCCUUUGAUACUGCAAAUCUCGAGUCCGGAAGAGGUGAGUGGAAUUCCUAGUGUAGAGGUGAAAUUCGCAGAUAUCAGGAAGAACACCCGUGGCGAAAGCGGCUCUCUGGAACGGUACUGACGCUGAGACGCGAAAGCGUGGGGAGCGAACAGG